AAAUCUAAUUCUCAAAGCAAACUGUACAUUGUGGCUGCGAAUUUAUCAACACUACUAUUAUAGAUAUUCAAUUCGCCGGCAGAUGUGUCCUGAGGGCCAAUUAAUUGUUAAUUAACAAUACCCUUUAUUCGGGGGCUUGUGGCACUGAAACGGAAUCAUCUGAGGUUGGUCCCAAUGUCAGUGAAACAGCACUCCGUGCAGAAUCUAAAACACGGCAGCACUACCAACCCCUCUCCGCCGUCGCCGCCCUCUAUCUCUUUACCCC
rnacentral:lncRNA from 1 species